rnacentral:lncRNA from 1 species
CCUAAUUGGAGCCAUAUAGCACCCUGCAAAAGACAAUCCUACAAAAUUUUAGACAUAAAUAAAAGCAUGAAAUCAAAUAUUCAAUGAUUCAAAUAUUCAAACCAAAACCUGUCUCACAAUCAGUCUUCCUAAUUGAAAUCAAAACCCUUCUCAUUCUCAAUUUCAAGUUCUCAACUAUGAAAUUGCAAAAACUAUGGGAUUGGACUCAUUAGACUAUUGGAGGAGGACUGGAGGAGGACAUACCACAGACUUAAUUACCUGACUUUCGACCUUUUGUCAGAGACUCGGAGAGAACUCAGACUCAAAGACGGCAGACUCGUGCGGUCGGGACGGCCAUGUGCGGGCGUGCAGUAGAGUGAGCAGACGGCAGCCAAGGACUUCGAUCAAAGGGAAUUAGAAAAAGACAGGAAAAUUGUAGAAGUAAGUUGCGUAGGUUAUGUUUAGUAUAUAUAUUUUUUUUGUUUUUUCUUUAUAUAUAUAUAUAUAUAUAUGCUUGGUAUUUUUUUUUUGUAGCCCUUUAAAUUUGGGGCCCAAAGCAAAUGCUUGUUGGGCUUUAGCCCAGGGCCGGUCCUGACACUUGUAUGGUUCUGAUAUUAGAAAAGCUAGUGAAGAGAAUUAAGCAACAAAACAGAUAUAUGAAGAGAAGAAAAAUGUCUUCUAUCCAAUAAUAGCUCAAUCCACACGAUUGCUAAUGGUGUCUAGCAGAGUUUUGUGUUAUCUCUCCUUGAAUCGGUCACUUACAAUAACGAGGGGAAAAAACACACACAUUUUCCUUAAUUUAGGGAUUAGCCAACACACACUAUCUACGUACCCUAUACUAACUCGCAAUGAGAACAAAUUUUAUUCACAAAGUAAAUCACGUACAAGUGACCAAAAAAAGAGAGUAAAUAAUCACGUACAGUAAUAGUAGUGUUUAAGCAUGGCUUCCUAUAGCAACAACAGUAGUAAUGGUAUGCAUGUAUGACUUCCAAUCGGAUACUCAUCGUUCUCUUUUG